GAUGAACGCUAGCGGGAGGCCUAACACAUGCAAGCCGAGCGGUAUUUGUUCUUCGGAACAGAGAGAGCGGCGCACGGGUGCGGAACACGUGUGCAACCUGCCUUUAUCUGGGGGAUAACCUUUCGAAAGGAAGAUUAAUACCCCAUAAUAUAUUGAGUGGCAUCACUUGAUAUUGAAAACUCCGGUGGAUAGAGAUGGGCACGCGCAAGAUUAGAUAGUUGGUGAGGUAACGGCUCACCAAGUCAAUGAUCUUUAGGGGGCCUGAGAGGGUGAUCCCCCACACUGGUACUGAGACACGGACCAGACUCCUACGGGAGGCAGCAGUGAGGAAUAUUGGACAAUGGGUUAGCGCCUGAUCCAGCCAUCCCGCGUGAAGGACGACGGCCCUAUGGGUUGUAAACUUCUUUUGUAUAGGGAUAAACCUACUCUCGUGAGAGUAGCUGAAGGUACUAUACGAAUAAGCACCGGCUAACUCCGUG
rnacentral:rRNA from 1 species